UACGGAGGGUGCAAGCGUUAUCCGGAUUCACUGGGUUUAAAGGGUGCGUAGGCGGGUAGGUAAGUCCGUGGUGAAAUCCUGGAGCUCAACUCCAGAACUGCCAUUGAUACUAUCUAUCUUGAAUAUUGUGGAGGUAAGCGGAAUAUGUUAUGUAGCGGUGAAAUGCUUAGAUAUGACAUAGAACACCCAGUGCGAAGGCAGCUUACUACGCAUAUAUUGACGCUGAGGCACGAAAGCGUGGGGAUCAAACAGGAUUAGAUACCCUGGUAGUCCACGCCCUAAACUAUGGAUACUCGACAUAUGCGAUACACUGUAUGUGUCUGAGCGAAAGCAUUAAGUAUCCCACCUGGGAAGUACGUUCGCAAGAAUG
rnacentral:rRNA from 1 species